UAAUUAGCUUAUGUUAAUUCAGUGAUGAAUAACGGCUGAAGUCUCUCCCAUUCGGGCUCAAAGUGUAACACACGUGGAGUUAAGGUUGUUGUAUGUGACAUGUCCUCAUAUUCAUUGCAUUCAGUGGGCUCUUCUCCAGCAUGAAAUCCCUGCUAUUGACAAGGAAAGAGAGGCUGUUAAAAAUUACUCACAUAAUAAUCAUUCAGUCAUUUCUCUACAUGUGACUUCUAGGUGGCUUCCACAGUGAUGGUCUUCAUUGAAAAUCUCCCCAUGUUAGUUACAUUCACAGGUAAUGUUACCUUGUUGAAUUCACACAGAUUUUCUAUCUGGUAAACCCUCACUUGUCAUAGUUUUCUGAUUAAGAUUUAGGUCGUCUUUAUGUUUCAAACACUAUAUCCAUGAACUAUGUUUAAUCAAUUACCUUUUCAUUGAAGCCCAGGUUAGUGUUUGACAUGUAAUGUCAAAAGACAUGGGUCCUCAGAUUGUUCCAUCCUCCAUUAAAUUGAUAGAAAAUCUCCUGGCCACAUGUCCAAGGACAUGGAGGACAGAGCUAGGGUUGAGGCUCUGAUGUUGCUGAUUUCCACAUGGGGAGGAACCAAUGUGACUGAGGGCAAGAGCAUCCAAGGUGGUGGGUGGCGCAACAGGGAAGGUGGGGUGCUAAAGUCCUGGAAUGGGUGUUGGAGAACAAAUGGCGGUGCCUUUCACCAAGAAUUAUUAAAUGAGAACUUUGCAAGAGGUGUCCUUGCUGUGGAGACAGGACUCUCCUGGAGACCAUGGUAAGGGUUACCUGGGAAUUAGUGUUAAUCCUAGGAACUGAAUAUUAAUAAAAUAAUAACUGAACAGUAAGUGGAAUCAAAGUAUAACACCCCAUAAUUUGCAUUGUUUUCUGCAAAAUGGGGAUAUUAUAUCCUCUCCACAUGCUGAGUAGCCAAUGCAGCCUUGUUCUUGACCAUGGGAAGAAAAAGCGUUCCUUCUGUCUGCACAUAUCUGUGGGUAAGGUGGCAGGAGUCACUCCCAGAUUGUCCCUGCAUAAGGAUGCAGAGGAGGGCAGGUAGUGGUAGAGUUCCUGAUAAUGAAACAACAGGUCAUCCCUUGGGCUCAGUGACCUCCUUCAUCAUGUUACUGGCUGCAGUGGACUUAGGAAUGCGGUGAACACAGGGGACAGAGAAUGACUCAGAACAGAAAUCUCUAGGCUAGUGGGGAGCAGACGUUUCAUCAG